AGUGAACGCUGGCGGCAGGCCUAACACAUGCAAGUCGAACGGCAGCACAGUAAGAGCUUGCUCUUACGGGUGGCGAGUGGCGGACGGGUGAGGAAUACAUCGGAAUCUACUUUUUCGUGGGGGAUAACGUAGGGAAACUUACGCUAAUACCGCAUACGACCUACGGGUGAAAGCAGGGGAUCUUCGGACCUUGCGCGAUUGAAUGAGCCGAUGUCGGAUUAGCUAGUUGGCGGGGUAAAGGCCCACCAAGGCGACGAUCCGUAGCUGGUCUGAGAGGAUGAUCAGCCACACUGGAACUGAGACACGGUCCAGACUCCUACGGGAGGCAGCAGUGGGGAAUAUUGGACAAUGGGCGCAAGCCUGAUCCAGCCAUACCGCGUGGGUAAAGAAGGCCUUCGGGUUGUAAAGCCCUUUUGUUGGGAAAGAAAAGCAGCAGGUUAAUACCCCGCUGUUCUGACGGUACCCAAAGAAUAAGCACCGGCUAACUUCGUG
rnacentral:rRNA from 1 species